rnacentral:lncRNA from 1 species
GGAAGGUGCCCAGGAAGAGAGGUAAAGGAAUGACAAUGAAGGCUACUCUAUCCAGCAUUCAUCUCUUGGGUUGAGCUGUGAGCUCCAUGAGAACUCAGAUGAAAUGACUUUGCACCGUCACAGGAACUUGUCAGGGAAGCUCACCAUUGUCUCUGAUGUUAACAACUGUUGAUCCAAGCCUGCCCAGUUUCCUACCUCCAGUCUUCCCUGGCCCUCCUCUGAAGAUGGAAACUAAGCCAACAGGCUCAGAACUUCCUAUCCUCUCUUCCUAUCUCCAAGGAAAUAGCAGCUCACAGCAGAAGAGUGCAGGGGGAGAGGGAACAGUUAUUUCUCAAGCCAUUAAUACAGUUCUUCUUACACGACUCUGCCUCCUGGCCCACAGUGAUGGACCCAUGGUUGGGAAUGGACCACACAGUGGGCCAGCUGUAAAGCCUGGGUAAGGGAUGGACAUCUGACCCAAGUAGGGACAGUGCAGUACGUGCUUGGAAUUGAUGACCUAGGGACCAAAGAGUAGUGCUCAUUGUCUCUUUGUGGCGGGGUUAGCAGCUCUGAAGUCAUCGGGAUGGCGUUUCCCACCAGAUAGAGGAAGCUGGCCUGUAGCUGAAGGACUGACACCCACACCCAGAGCUGCAGAGAGAGGGGGGCGUAACAGCAGCAUGCCAGAUCCAUUUCCAGCUCUUCUGAGGUGCAGCCACACCUUGACCUUCCUGCAGUCCUCUUAGCCUUCCAAAUACAUUUUCCUUUGAGUGUAAAUGAGUUUAAGGUUCAGAGUCCAUCUGACUUUAGUGGAGCCAUGGAGACUCUUGCUGGAACUGUGCAGCCCAUCUUUGCAUUUUCUUUUGAGUGGCAUCGUCCAGUGAAGAGGAAGAAUAAAUGAGGUGAAAGGAGAGAGGCCACUAGCAGGGAACUCUAGCUCUGAUUUCCUGGCAGCAAAAUCUGCUCCUCUUGCCAGAGGGGCACUUGGGGCUUUACUGUUUGGCCUCUUCCCACUGCUCAUAUCUGUUUCUUGAUAUUCCUCCAAAAUGUACCAGUCCUUCUAAGACCAGACAUCAGGACUCUGAGUUCUUCCAGGGAGUGACAUAGAAAGAGAGGCUUCUUUUUCUCUCCUAUUCUCUUCAUUCCUGCAACCCAACCCUGUAUCUUUCCAUCGUGCCAAGGAAGCAUCACACACACUGCUCCAUAGUCCCUACUCCAUAGUCCUCACAGGCAGGGCCUCCUGUCCUCCCAUCUGCCUGGCAUCACCCAGUACACAGGUCCCAGUGGCGCGUCCUGAUGCCUGGGCUCACCAGCUUUCAAGUAGGAGACCAGAGAACUCACUGGGAAGUGGGUGUAAAAUAUGUUUAGUGCCCACAUUAACAUUUCAUUCUGGUUAUGCACCAUCAAGGGGCCAGAGAGCAGAUGGGAUAAUUAAAAUCUCAAGACAAUUGGUUUUAACUUCCUUCCCCAUUAGACCUUUCACCAGUGCAAUUAAUUUCCCUAUUUUUCUCCUUUUAUUUUCUUUAAUCAACCUCUGUUUAGGGAGCUAAUGAGCCAUGACAAGAACAAAAGGCCAGCAGCCAAGAGGAGGGGGAAAUAGGAGCUGGCAGACCAGACCGGACUGCGGCUCCUGAGCUGGUUGUUUCCCUUCUCAAAGGCGCAAGUAAGGUGUCGCUGUCCUUUACUCCGCUCAAAACUUUAGGCCUCCUCUGCGAGGCUGCUCCCCUCCAUGGCACCCACCCACAGGGCAGAAAUGCAGAAAGCAAGGCUUUGCCUCUAGGGUGGGAGGGGAGGGAGGAGCUGGUUCCCAAGGGAACAAGGAAUCCCGUUUGAGAGACUAGGAUGUUCUCAGCCUCAGAACUGGCUUGCGAGCUGGCCAAACAUGCAAAUACCCACAGGUGCAGCAUGUAAAAGAGAAGUGGCCUUGGGUGAGGCUGCAGGGGCAGCUGGCCGCACAUUUUGCAUAUGCUCCUAGGAAGCUAAAGUUAGGCUCUGGUUUACCCCAGGUGUAGGGGCCACAUUUAGCUAUUCCUCACCACUGAGCAAGGGGCUUGCUGCAUUAUUUGGCUAGGGCAGGGUCUGGCUUGCCCUCUGAGUCCUGAAUUGGGUCCCGGGCCAUUGCUGUAUUUGGGUAAGGUUAGGGUAAUCACAACUACUCUUUCCCUUCCCCCAACCAAGUCUGAACAUCAUCGAUUUAACACCUAAGAUGGACUUGAAGGAUUGUCUCCAUCCCAGAGCUAAGACAUCACCAGGAUUCCAUACUAGCAGACCCCAAUCUGGUUUGCUCAUGGACUUCGCCUGUACCAUUUCUCCUAACCAGUCUUCUACAGCAUCACUUGCUCUGCUUGGCACCCUGCCAGCCUCUGACCCCUAGAUGGGCCUUCCUUUUUGUGGCCCAGCCUCAUCCCCAUACCCGAUGCUCUGCUUCUCUGGCCUCCCAUUUUUCUCUCUUCUUUGGCCACAGUUUGAAUUCCUAUUCC